UGUUAUUUUCUGGAUUUGGUUUCUCCUGGCAGGAAGAAGAAUUAGGUAGAGAGUCCAGACAUAGAUACACCAGAAGGCAAAGUAAAUCGAAGCAAAAUCAAGGAGCUCUGCUCUUCAAAUCAAAUUCAUCAUUAUGACUGAGGACGAUUGCCCCCCUGCGCAGUCUUCUUCAACCAAGCAAAGGAGAAAACGGAAGUGGGAUCAACCUGCUGAAUCCUUUAUCUCAGCAGUACCUGGGGUUAUUCCCUUGGGAAAUGUAGGAUCUCCGAUGCUACAAGCUGUUUCGGCCAUAAAUACAACUCAACAGCUCUUGACACCUUCCUUGCAACAGCAUGCUGUCACUUUGGUUCAAAAGAUUAAUCAAACGAAAUUGCAGGAGGAGUUAAUAGCUCGGGAAAUUGUCAUAAACGAUGCUGAAUCUUCCAUAAGGAACAAACUCACCAAACGACAAACCCAGGAGGAGAUCCAGAGGUGUACAGGUUCUGUAGUAAUAACUAGGGGUAAAUAUAGACCACCCAAUGGACCAACUGAUGGUGAAAAACCUUUAUAUCUUCACAUUUCUGCUGGAGCUCAUUUGGAAACAACAGCGGACCGGAUAAAGGCAGUUGAUCAAGCAGCUGCUAUGGUGGAUGAAAUGUUGAAACAAGAUUCAUUAAAUAGUGGAACAAAGCCACUAAGCACGCGUGUGUACCUGGGUUUUGAACCAGACCCUUCAUUAAACAUUGUGGCUCGAAUACGUGGACCAAAUGAUCAGUAUGUAAAUCACAUUGUGAAUGAAACAGGAGCAACUGUAUUACUGAGAGGACGUGGUUCUGGAAAUCCUGAAAGCGUACAGGGUGAAGGACAGCAACCAUUGCACUUGCUAUUAUCAUGCAGUAAUUCAAAAGGUCUUGAGCAUGCAAAGCUUUUGGCUGAAAAUCUUUUGGAUACAAUUUGUGCCGAGUGUGGGGCCUCCAGGGUCUCAUCAUGUAAAGUUUAUGGUGCUGUGCCCCCACCGCAGCAGCUGUUGGCUGCUGUACCACCCACCAUUUCAACUGCGAGCUUUGUACCAGUUCCAGUAAGUCCCUCAGCUACAGUGCCUGUGGGUAUGACAUUCCUUUCUCAAGGGUGUAUACCACAGCCUGCGAGUUUUAUGAGUUGUGGGAAAAUUCAACCUAACAUAGGGAGCUAUCCUCAGCCAUCUGUGAGUGGUUGUACAAGUUAUAAUGGCUACGGUGGGAUAUAUCCACAAGCCACUCCUUUCCACCAAGUUGCCUUGGCCCUUAAAAAUUCAGCCUCUCCCAUGACUUCUAAGGUUUCUCCUGUAGCAGCCGUAGCAAGUCCAACUUCCUUCUCAAGUAAAGAUCACUCUUCUGAAAAGGAAAGGAGACAAAAACGGAAGUUCCAAGAGUUGCCAGCUAAUUCAAUGGGACCUGCAAAGCCUCACCAGGUAUUUUCUCUGACCUUUAUGAAGCUAACAGGCUGAUACUGGACAUCUAUGUUGGGAGUUUGUAUUUUCACAGGGUUUUGCAAUGCGGAGCUGUGGGAAAUGACUGUUGCGACUUUGAUGUUAUUAUCUGGAUGUAUACAAGUCAUGUAUUCUGUGCAAUUGUGUUACAACUUACAAGUCACCUGCAUGGACUUACAAAACCAGACACCUGCAUUAAUUCUCACAAUUAGAUCCAAAUUUUUCAAAGCAACGUCUAUCAUCAAAUUUUGAUGUGAGAAAUGUUUCAAACAUGCCAUCACCAAAGAAGUUGACCCAGCAAGCAGCCAAUGGUCUCCCACCACCCGCUCCUAAGAGUAUGCCGCCGCCUCCGCCGCCUUCCAGGAGCAUGAUGCCUCCACCGACGCCUCCUAAGUCUGGUACAUCUCCCAUCAUGAACAUCCCAGAGGAUAACCAUGAUCAGGAUAAAACGACAUCUAAAGUUGUUCCUGAUACACUUAUCCAACUAAUGGAGUAUGGUGAUGAUGAUGAAGACGAAGACGAUGACUUUGAAAUAACUACUGCUGAUACCAUGAAGGCCAACUCAAAUGCUCAAAUAGCAUCAAAGCCUUUUUGGGCUGUGUGAAGUUGAAAAAUAUGUAGCUAGUUGAUAUGUUUGAUUAACAGAAGAAGUCCACUUGUACUUUCUUUUCACUUUUAAUGUGUUGCAACUGCAAGUGUGAGGCUUUUAGAGGGAUCUACCAUUAAUUAUACUGCUCCCAGUAUGUAAGAACUCUGUGAAUUGUAUCUUUUGAAUUUCAUCUUGAACAACAGGCAAUAAAUGCAGUAAAUCAAUAUUCAGGUUAUUCCUAACAA